CCUUGCUCAGCCACACCCACAAGGGAAUUCAGCAGUGAUAAAUAUUAGCCCAUGAGUGAAAGCUCGACUUAGUCAGGGCCAAGAGAGCCGGUUAAACUCGUGCCAGCCACCGCGGUUAUACGAGGGGCUCAAAUUGAUAUUGUACGGCGUAAAGAGUGAUUAGAAAAAAUGAAUAAACUAAAGCCGAACAUCCCCUGAGCUGUCAUACGCUACUGAGCGAAAUGAAGCCCCGCAACGAAAGUAGCUUUAAUAACUUUGAACUCACGAGAGUUAAGGAACAAACUGGGAUUAGAUACCCCAUUAUGCUUAACCUUAAACAACGAUGGCUAGGUACUACUACCAUCCGCCAGGGGACUACGAGCACUAGCUUAAAACCCAAAGGACUUGGCGGUGCUUCAAACCCACCUAGAGGAGCCUGUUCUAUAACCGAUAAUCCUCGUUAAACCUCACCACCCCUUGCCAAAUACCGCCUAUAUACCCGCCGUCGUCAGCUUACCUCUUGAGAGCCUCAUAGUAAGCCCAAUGGGCUGCGCCCAGCACGUCAGGUCGAAGUGUAGCGAAUGGGGUGGAACGAAAUGGGCUACAUUUUCUGAUGCAGAAAAUACGGAAAGUGCUAUGAAACGAGCACGACUGAAGGUGGAUUUAGCAGUAAAAGAGAAACAGAGAGUCUCUUUGAAGAUGGCUUUGAAGCGCGUACACACCGCCCGUCA
rnacentral:rRNA from 1 species